rnacentral:sRNA from 1 species
CUCGACUUUCGGAAAGCGUAAAAAUACUCAAGCUGCAGUGGACUGUAUUUUUAUGCUUUCCGAAAGUCGAG